CUCCCUCGCCGGAAGACCAAGGGUUCCUGUCCAACGUUAAUCGGGGCAGGGUAAGUCGACUCCUAAGGCGAGGCCGAAAGGCGUAGUCGAUGGGAAACAGGUUAAUAUUCCUGUACUUCUUACAAUUGCGAUGGGGGGACGGAGAAGGCUAGGUGGGCCUGGCGACGGUUGUCCAGGUUCAAGUAUGUAGGCGGGUGGUUUAGGUAAAUC
rnacentral:rRNA from 1 species